CCUACGAGUGGCAGCAGUGAGGAAUAUUGGUCAAUGGGCGCGAGCCUGAACCAGCCAAGUAGCGUGAAGGAGGACUGCCCUACGGGUUGUAAACUUCUUUUAUAAAGGAAUAAAGUGAGGCACGUGUGCCUUUUUGUAGUUACUGUAUGAAUAAGGAUCGGCUAACUCCGUGCCAGCAGCCGCGGUAAUACGGAGGAUCCGAGCGUUAUCCGGAUUUAUUGGGUUUAAAGGGAUCGUAGGGGGAUUGUUAAGUCAGUUGUGAAAGUUUGCGGCUCAACCGUAAAAUUGCAGUUGAAACUGGCAGUCUUGAGUACAGUAGAGGUGGGCGGAAUGCGUGGUGUAGCGGUGAAAUGCUUAGAUAUCACGAAGAACUCCGAUUGCGAAGGCAGCUCACUGGACUGCAACUGACACUGAGGCUCGAAAGUGUGGGUAUCAAACAGGAUUAGAUACCCUAGUAGUC
rnacentral:rRNA from 1 species